rnacentral:rRNA from 1 species
UACGGGGGGGGCAAGCGUUGUUCGGAAUUACUGGGCGUAAAGGGCCAGUAGGCGGCCAACUAAGUCCGACGUGAAAUCCCAAGGCUUAACCUUGGAACUGCGUCGGAUACUGGAUGGCUUGAAUUCGGGAGAGGGAUGCAGAAUUCCAGGUGUAGCGGUGGAAUGCGCAGAUAUCAGGAGGAACACCAAUAGCGAAGGCAGCUCGCUGGAACGUUACUGACGCUGAGACGCGAAAGCGUGGGGAGCAAACAGG